rnacentral:rRNA from 1 species
UACAGAGGGUGCGAGCGUUGUCCGGAAUCACUGGGCGUAAAGGGCGCGUAGGCGGUCUGCUAAGCGUGUGGUGAAAGCUCGGGGCUCAACCCCGAGUCGGCCGUGCGAACUGGUGGACUGGAGCACGUCAGAGGCAGGCGGAAUUCCGGGUGUAGCGGUGGAAUGCGUAGAGAUCCGGAAGAACACCGGUGGCGAAGGCGGCCUGCUGGGACGUGGCUGACGCUGAGGCGCGACAGCGUGGGGAGCAAACAGG